rnacentral:lncRNA from 1 species
CGGCGGAUAGUAGCGCAACUCAGUUGAUCUCGGGUGCAUGAAAGAAGGCGCGUCGUUGGCUCGUAAUGUACAGUGCCUGACUGCCAGGAAAACGCUUGAGGCUUCCACCAUCUUCGUGGCAAGAGCUGCUAAGUGUGAAGAAGGGUAAAAGAAGGUUUCACUCGAGAAGUUGCUGUUUUUUCUUCAGUUCAACCAGCACGGUUCCUACCAUCCAAGAUGCGCCAGCCUAUCUGCUUGAUUGUUAUAUUCUUGUGUGGAUUCCAUCUCUUCUCAAGUGUACAAGGAGGCUCAUGUUCAAGUUCUGAGCCUACACGAAAACCUACUGACCCCUCGUGUGUUGGUGAAACUUGCGGGCCUGAGAGCUGCCCAAGUCCAUGCA